UACAGGAUGCAUAAAAUUAACUAGGUGAUUUAUAUAAAAGCUGAAUUAGUUUUUUAUCUACGAAGAGGACAUAUUGACAAGAGGAUAAAGCCGUCCAUUGCACAGGACUUAACAUACGUUAACGAUGAUUUUGUAUUUGGCGUUCGUGUCCUUCCUCUGUCUUCAGGUCACAGAUCUAGUUUAUGGACAAGAUGUUUGUGGACACCAGUAUUAUCAUUCUGGAUUUGAAAUGUGCUGCAACGGAGUUGUAAAUAGGCGAGUUUGGGGCACAAGUUGCUGUGGAACUAUGGCAUACAACUCAGAUUUUGAUACUUGCUGCAACGGAUUUGUAACUAGACGCAGCAGAGGCGCAAGUUGCUGCGGAACAAGAGCCUAUUAUUCCCAAUUUCAAGUUUGUUGCAACGGAGUUGUAAAUAACCGGAGAUGGGGCACAAGUUGCUGUGGAACUACUGCGUACAAUUCUAAUUUUAACAAAUGUUGCAAUGGAUAUGUCUGUUAAAUCUAUCUCGAAAUAAAACGCCAUCGGCUCUUUUCUUGUAAA